GACGAACGCUGGCGGCCUGCUUAACACAUGCAAGUCGAACGGAAAGGCCCUGCUUUUGUGGGGUGCUCGAGUGGCGAACGGGUGAGUAACACGUGAGUAACCUGCCCUUGACUUUGGGAUAACCUCAGGAAACUGGGGCUAAUACCGGAUAGGAGCUCCUGCUGCAUGGUGGGGGUUGGAAAGUUUCGGCGGUUGGGGAUGGACUCGCGGCUUAUCAGCUUGUUGGUGGGGUAGUGGCUUACCAAGGCUUUGACGGGUAGCCGGCCUGAGAGGGUGACCGGCCACAUUGGGACUGAGAUACGGCCCAGACUCCUACGGGAGGCAGCAGUGGGGAAUAUUGCACAAUGGGCGGAAGCCUGAUGCAGCAACGCCGCGUGCGGGAUGACGGCCUUCGGGUUGUAAACCGCUUUCGCCUGUGACGAAGCGUGAGUGACGGUAAUGGGUAAAGAAGCACCGGCUAACUACGUG
rnacentral:rRNA from 1 species